GGAAGGGUCUCUGGCAAGGUGAGAGGCGAGUUCCUCCCUCGCACGCGAAAAAGAAAGAACGGUGAGGUUGACGGCGCCGGUGACAGUCUCGACGGCUGGCUCUAGUUGCGGAGGUAGAAGGCGGCGGCCCGUGGUGGCCAGUCAGGUGUGUGAGUGACGGAGUGCGAGAGAGGGAGACCUAGAACCUCUGAAGCUUGGAGUUGAUAGUGAAGUACAAAUGAUGGGAAUCAGGGGAAGCAAUUUGAACCCCUAAAAAGUUUUCCUUUCCCUUGCACCCCUAUUUCUGCUAAAUCACACCCCCUUUCCCCUUGGGCUCAGGCCCAGUUCGUUUAUUUUAAAAAAGGAAAAAUAUUUAGGCACCCCUCUUCUUAUCUAAGCACCCCAUAUCUUUUUUUUUUUUACUUAUUAUUUUGUUUUUUUCUUAUCAUUUAACUUUUUAUUUUAUUUUAUUUCUACUUUUUAUUUUCAUUUAGUUAUUUAUCUAUUUAUUUUAUUUUAUCUACUUUUAAGUAAAUAUUAAAAACAAUAAAAAAAUGUUUUAAAAGGUUAAAGC
rnacentral:lncRNA from 1 species